rnacentral:lncRNA from 1 species
UCCCAGUUUGGGAAUAGCACAGCUUCUUCGUCGUUCUAAUCAAACCAGGAUGAAUAACUUUGUAAGAAGCUUUAUUUGGAUACAUAAAGUGGUGGAGAAUCACCAGGAAGUUGAUAUGAUCAUGGACCAGCCAAACAAAGAAGAUAAUGAGAGCAUGGAUGAUCCUGCUGAUGGAGGAGCUCUAGCCAUAUCUGAAGGUCCUAUGACUCGAGCCAGAAGCAAGCAACUCAAAGAAGCCAUUGGAGGAUUACUUAAGACAUCACUGAAGCAAGAAGAGAGUCUUGGAAGAAGCUUGAUCAACCAAGACACACUUGCCACAAUUCAAGCCAUCUCAGCUCCAAGAUAGACAUCAAAUGAGCAAGUAACAUAUGUGUGCUCUUUUUCCCUAUCUUUGGUUUUGUCCCACUGGGUUUUCCAAAGAUAGGUUUUUAAUGAGGCCAUAUGUUGCUUUCCUAUCACUCAUUUGAUGAUCUCAGUUCAAGACUUUAUUUUAAUUAUUUAUCUUUGUUAACAUGAAGCAGAAUUAGGCUGCUAGACUUGAGAAUUAGGCUGCUAGACUUGAGAAUUAAGCUGCCAGACUUGAGAACCCUUAUAAGGUUUUAUAAGGUUUUUAUAAGGUUUUAUAAGGUUUAUUUUUAAGGCCCAUUUAGAGACCAAGGAGCCUGUUCCUUGCCUUCUCUAUAAAUAUGUGUCUGAAAACCCUAAUAGAUCUAUCCAAUCUUUAUUUCUAAACUCUUGUUUCUCUCUAGUCGGCCGCAAGCUUGUCUUGUAGAUCUGAGAUUUCUUGAGUCUUUGUUAGUGUGUCAUAUCUAACAAAACCACAAGAGUGAUUGUCUUGGUGUGUCAUAUCCAAGGGAUUCACUUAGGAGUAUCAAGGAGACCUCUCACAUCUCUUUGUGUCACCAUUCAUUCCACAAACCUUGAAGCAGGUUGAGUCUUUGAUUCUCUGUUUGCAAGGAUCUAUCCCAUUCCAACCAGAGAAGCAUCCUAGGAGUGUAUUAUGUGGUAUCAGAGCAACUCUGGCUAGGGAAGUUCUCGUUUUCUUUAAGUUUUCACUCAAAUCUGUCUCUUGGUUUCAUAACUAUUGAAAGAUCUGAGUUUUGUUGUGUUGUUUCUGUCGAUUUGAUUCACUCUGAGUUCAGUAUUGCUAGAUCUGUUGCUGUGUGUUUUUAAAUUGAUAGAUCUGAAAGUUUCUAUUUUAGAUCUGUGAUAGAUCCGAUCAUCUCUUGUUGUUUCUUUGAUAGAUCUGUGUUUCUAUUGUUGAAAUCUGAUAAAUCUGAGUGUUUUGAUCAUAAAUCUGUUGAAGUCAUUUCAUAUACUCUUUGAUUUCGUGUUGAUCUAUAUUUCUUGUGAAGAAAUCUAUCGAAAUAGGGUUGUUUAAUCUUAUUCCUGGUAUUAGACUCUUCGGAUCCUUGUUGAAGAAGUUUCAGAUUUGUUUUGUUGAAUUGAAUCUGAUAAUUAUUGAGAAAUCGAUCUGUUCUUGUCUUUGGUUGAGUUCGAAAUUGAUCAGAGAAGUUAAAGGUUUGAUUUUUGUCGUUUGAUCAGUUUAUGUUUGGUUCAAAAUUGAUCGUUUCUUUUCUUGUGGUUAUUUGUUUCUGAUUAUCAACUUAUUUUAUUUAGAAUUGAAUUUCAAUUUGUAUCUGUCUCUGUUACAAGUUGAUUGUUUGUUUUCUUUAGAACUUGUUACUGCUGUGUGUUGUUUUCUGUUUCAGGUACCAUGGCAGGUGAUCAGAAAGGAAAACUUACUGAGGAUGAAAGGUUUAUACUUGAAGCAAUGACUACGAGAAUGGAGAAGAUGAUGGACUCCAAACUUGAAUCUUUUCGCCAUGAGCUACAUUCAUCCAAGAAUCAAAGGCAGAAAAGAACAAGAAAAGAAGAAACCAAGAUGGCUGAUUAUGAGAAAAAAAUCAGUAGCAUUGACAAGGAGAUUAUUAACAUCAUCAAGCAUUUAGACAAGCAGAAGAAGCUCAUAAAGCAUCAAGAAUCAGUUUCUACUGUCUCAAAACUUAAAGCUGCAGAACCAGACUUAGCUGCACCUAUCCAAGAAGAUCAGGCCAAAGUAUCUGCUCCUGUCAUUCAAAAAGAAAAGAAACCAGUUCAAGAGGUCAUGGUUCCUAUCAUACAGAAGGUGAUAGAAGAGGAGGCACCCACUGAACCACAAGAAGAUCAUGGAAUGAAUAAGCUGAUUGUCUUUGAUCCAUCUGAUUUUCAAAGGACUUUCUUGAGUACUUUUUUCAUCAGUCCUUUUGUUUGGAACAAGACCAGAGCAGUGGAGCUUUCAAGACACGAAAUGGGCAUGAAGCAUGUUGUAUUUGAGCCUGGAGGAAAGCUGUGUAGUCUCAGGAAAAAGAACCAACUAAUUGAAAAGGAAUCAGCUGCAGCAACAUUUGAUUUUGUUAAUUUCUCAACCUCUGAAGAUAAGGUGUUGCACGCCUCAGCUCAACAGGAAUUUCACUACGAAACCAAUUGGAAAAGGUUACCCACUCUGUCCUGGUUCCAGCAAACCAGAAAGCGCAGCAAAUGGCCACCUGAUCAUCAAGAUAUUACUAGAUUGGCAAAACAUAUCGGUUUGAAUUCAUUCCGAGAGAUGUCUAUGUCUGAUUGGGUUGGAAGAUUACAGACCUACCUGUGGAGACCUGGAGCGUAUGUCAGCAUAUUUAUCUUCCUUGGAGAGCACUCUGUCCGUUCUAGAAUCAUCUUGGGUAAUAAUGAGUUGGAAGCUGAUCAAAACUCCUUGCUUCUCGGCCAUAUCAAGAUAUGGAAACCACCUGAUAUGCAGCAGCUUCAGCACCAUUACAGAGACUAUCAAACCAUGAGUGGAGAUGGAAGAUUCACUGGAGAGAAUGGUGAAGUGAUUACUGGAUCAGGAGAAGAACUCAUAUUUUCUUCUCAAAUCAAGGAGAAACUACCAGAUCAACAUAGCUUACAACAAACUCCAAAGCAACCAAUCCAAGGUCAAACUCUUUUGAGGUCUACACUUUUCAAAAAUAGGAGCUAUAAUAAUCAGAGUACCAGUGAUGAAUUCUUGGCUAAAUUGGGGAUGCAACAAGAAAACCUUGGAAGCUGUCUAGCCGCCAGACUUGACAUAGGAUCAGUCCGAGGAUCAUAUCUCAACAACCACAAGGAAUUAAGCAACGAAACAAACUGCAAUGGAAACCUAACUCAUCAGGGUCUCACGUCGAAUUGGAAUCAUGUCCAAAGCUUCUCAGGUGAGAGAGUUAUGGGUUCUACCACUCAGGUGAUCCUCUGUGUGCUUUAUUUGAAUUUUUCUAAGUUUAUAAAAUCUCAAUCCUAUCUAUGGCGACCAGGUGAGUAUGCAAGGGUAAGUAAUUAUGUUUUCAAGAAUUAUUUUAUUGAUUACACAGAUAUGAUGCACUUGUUUUUGUCAAAAGAGCCAUGUGCAGAUUAUAAGGAAGCUUGGAAGCAAUCAAGGAGAAAGAACAAGCAUGAGGAAGACAAUCGGUUCAAGCCACCUGAUCUGAACAAGAACCAACAUGUCCCUGGUUUUAUCCUCAUCAAAGAAGCUCCCCCAGAUGCAGCCUACAAUCCAAAACUGAGCAAAAACCGAUUUGGGAUAAGACUCUUACUCUUUGAUAAAUUUUCAUUUGCUAACUUGUUGUGUUUCAAUGAGUUUGAAUCAGGUUUUAGGAAUGCAUCAGGAGUAUGGAGAGCCCAACGUAUCAGUUCCUUCUACCAAUCAAAUCCAGUCAGCAACAAUGCCUAUCAAAGAGGCUUGCAAGGUAAGUGUAAUCUGAUUAUCAACGUUAAUGUUACUGACUUGGCUCCUUUUGUUGCAAAUGAGAUAGAUUUGAGGACAAAUCCUUUUCAAGAGGGAGGGGAUGAUAUGAUCAUGGACCAGCCAAACAAAGAAGAUAAUGAGAGCAUGGAUGAUCCAACUGAUGGAGGAGCUCUAGCCAUAUCUGAAGGUCCUAUGACUCGAGC